rnacentral:rRNA from 1 species
GACGAACGCUGGCGGCGUGCCUAAUACAUGCAAGUAGGACGCAGUUGCGAACGGGUGAGUAACGCGUAGGUAACUGCCUAUUAGAGGGGGAUAACUAUUGGAAACGAUAGCUAAUACCGCAUACUAGUAGAUGGACCUGCGUUGUAUUAGCUAGUAGGUAGGGUAAUGGCCUACCUAGGCGACGAGACAUAGCCGACCGGAGAGGGUGGUCUGCCAGACUGGGUCUAAGACACGGCCCAGACUUCUACGGGAGGCAGCAGUAGGGGAUCUUGGGCAAUGGGGGGAACCCUGACCGAUCAACGCCGCGUGAGUGAAUAAGGUUUUCGGAUCGUAAAGCUCUGUUGUUAAGGAAGCGGUACUUAACCAGAAAGGGACGGCUAACUACGUGCCAGCAGCCGCGGUAAUUC